rnacentral:rRNA from 1 species
UACGGAGGGUGCAAGCGUUAAUCGGAAUUACUGGGCGUAAAGCGCACGCAGGCGGUGUGUUAAGUCGGAUGUGAAAUCCCCGGGCUCAACCUGGGAACUGCAUUUGAUACUGGCAGACUUGAGUCUUGUAGAGGGGGGUAGAAUUCCAGGUGUAGCGGUGAAAUGCGUAGAGAUCUGGAGGAACACCGGUGGCGAAGGCGGCUUCCUGGUCUGAGACUGACGCUCAGGUGCGAAAGCGUGGGGAGCAAACAGG